rnacentral:rRNA from 1 species
UUGAAACUCAAAGGAAUUGACGGGGGCCCGCACAAGCGGUGGAUUAUGUGGUUUAAUUCGAUGCAACGCGAAGAACCUUACCAGGGCUUGACAUCCUACUAACGAAGUAGAGAUACAUUAGGUCCUUCGGGGAAGUAGAGACAGGUGGUGCAUGGUUGUCGUCAGCUCGUGUCGUGAGAUGUUGGGUUAAGUCCCGCAACGAGCGCAACCCUUAUUGUUAGUUGCUACGCAAGAGCACUCUAGCGAGACUGCCGUUGACAAAACGGAGGAAGGUGGGGACGACGUCAAAUCAUCAUGCCCCUUAUGUCCUGGGCUACACACGUAAUACAAUGGCGGCCAACAGAGGGAUGCAAAGCUGUGAAGUGGAGCGAACCCCUAAAAGCCGUCCCAGUUCAGAUUGCAGUCUGCAACUCGACUGCAUGAAGUCGGAAUCGCUAGUAAUCGCGGAUCAGCAUGCCGCGGUGAAUACGUUCCCGGGCCUUGUACACACCGCCCGUCACACCAUGAGAGUCGGGAACACCC